rnacentral:rRNA from 1 species
GUUCAGAACGUCGUGAGACAGUUUGGUCCCUAUCUGCCGUGGGCGUUGGAAAUUUGAAGGGGGCUGCUCCUAGUACGAGAGGACCGGAGUGGACGAACCUCUGGUGUUCCGGUUGUCACGCCAGUGGCAUUGCCGGGUAGCUAAGUUCGGAAGAGAUAACCGCUGAAAGCAUCUAAGCGGGAAACUUGCCUCAAGAUGAGAUCUCACUGGAACCUUGAGUUCCCUGAAGGGCCGUCGAAGACUACGACGUUGAUAGGUUGGGUGUGUAAGCGCUGUGAGGCGUUGAGCUAACCAAUACUAAUUGCCCGUGAGGCUUGA